rnacentral:rRNA from 1 species
AUUGAACGCUGGCGGCAUGCCUUACACAUGCAAGUCGAACGGUAACAGGUCUUCGGAUGCUGACGAGUGGCGAACGGGUGAGUAAUGCAUCGGAACGUGCCCAGUAGUGGGGGAUAGCCCGGCGAAAGCCGGAUUAAUACCGCAUACGACCUGAGGGCGAAAGGGGGGGAUCGCAAGACCUCUCGCUAUUGGAGCGGCCGAUGUCAGAUUAGCUAGUUGGUGGGGUAAAGGCCUACCAAGGCAACGAUCUGUAGUUGGUCUGAGAGGACGACCCGCCACACUGGGACUGAGACAAGGACCAGACGCCUACGGGAGGCAGCAGUGGGUAAUUUUGGGCAGUGCUCGCAAGCCUUAUCCUGCAAUGCCGCGUGCAGGAAGAAGUCCUUCGGGUUGUAAACUGCUUGUGUCAUGGAAGAAGUCUUCUGUGUUAAUUCCUCUGGAGGAUGACGGUACCUGAAGAAUAAGCACCGGCUAACUACGUGCCAGCCGCCGCGGUAAGAC